CAUUAAGUGGCUGAAAAUAAGCAUUGGUCUCUUAAACCAAUAUAUAGUAAUUAAUGACUACUCUUAAUGG
rnacentral:tRNA from 1 species